rnacentral:ncRNA from 2 species
UCAAAAAAAGGCUAUGAGGUUAGCCUAAAAAGCCCCGCCAAAGGGGAUGAUAACCUCUACUCGAUA